rnacentral:ncRNA from 1 species
AAGAUAGAGGCGCGGUUUUAAAUAGUAUGACUUUACAUGAAGGCUGGACGAGCUGUUAAGUCGGAAAGGUACAACCGCCGAAGAAAGAUUUCUUAGUCCGAGAAAUUUUUCUGGGACGACGCAAAAUAUGCGGCGAACUGUCACAGGUGUGGAGAGCUAUC